rnacentral:lncRNA from 1 species
GUAUGGCCCGCAUGAGCUGAAACUCUCAUCGUAAUUAGGACCAUGAUUCUACUAAAAGCCACGAGCCACAAGACGAGCUUUGUAAUGUUCAAGAGAACCAUCAGAGCGAGUCUUAACCUUGUUGACGCACCAAGUAAUGGGACGAACACGAGGAGGAAGGGACACAAUAUCCGAUGUGCUGAUGUGCUCAACAGUAGCAAUAUCCUCUACCAUGGCAAGGCGCCAUUUGGUAUGAAAAACAUCAAGAUAAGAAGUCUGCUCAAGAAAGUGGCGCCAACGUUUCAUAGCCUAAGGCGGUCCACAUGCAAAAGUGGACGAGGUCGCAAGCCAUAAGAAGGCCGAGACGGAGAAGAUGGCACAUCAGUAGAUGCAUCCAGAACACAUGAACGACGUGUUUAAAAGUGAGGCAAAUGUGGAAGAAUACGAGCAAUAAUCCCCGAGAUAAGCUCAGGUUAUGGAGACAAGGAAGUCACCGAUGAUGAAGGUUUAAAAUCCCGUGAUAAGCGAAGUGAGGAAAUCAUAGGAGAUGAUGGUGUUGAAUCUGUAAUAAUUGGAGAAGCAGGAGCAGUACGAGGAAUGGAAUAGGGCUCAACUAUAGUGAUAAGAAUGUCGGGAAAAGUGAGGUAACACAUCCUCCACUAAAAAGGUCGGGGAUGAUGGUCACACGUAGCAGGGACGAGACUCAUUAAAAGUCAUACUGUGAGAAAUAGCACCCGAUGACCAACCUGAUCCCAACAACAAUAUCUCUUAUGGUCAUUGUUGUAUCCUAUGAACACUCAACAUACUAAGUAGUAAGUUUGGAACAUUGACGAGAGGCAGUAAGGGCACAUCAAACACAACCAAACAAUUGAAGCGCUGAAUAAUCUGGAAACGAUCAAAUAGACUCUUGAAAGGAGAUGACCAUGGUGGAAGUGGAGACGCAUUCAACCCAAAGGUGUGGCGUAAGAGAGGCAGUGACCAUCCAAAAGUGUGGCGGAAGAGAGAACAGUGAAAUUGAACCUAUGAGCCGUCUCAAUAGUUGACGAUGCUUGCCCUCAGCCAUGCCAUUUCUGAGCAUGAGCACCAAGAUAAGAGAACUGAGCAAGAGCACCCUGCUCAACAAGGAUUGAGCGCAACAUCUUGGAGAUUUAGUGUCCACCGAGUCAUCACAGAAUACAAGAAUAGGCGGUGAGAGAUACUAUGUUGGCAAACAGAAGCCACAUCGAAAAGUGUGCCAAAAGUGGUCAUCUGGGCCUUACAGGAGCAAAUGUCUCAUCGUAGUCAUGACUAUAUGUUCUCACCACUAGAUGAGCUUUGUAAAGCUCUAGAGAAACAUCAUAGCCUCACCCUUUGAUGUCAUCACAUGCUGCCAUUAUGGAUGAAAAACCGUCAUGAUAAGAAGUCGUCUUGCGAAGAGCACCACAAUAACUAACCAUAGCAGGCGAGCUCGAAAGCCAUAAGUAGGCUGAUCUGGAGCUAUGUGUUGCCAACAGAAGAAUACAUAGUAAUCGAGGGAGUUGACUCAUUAGAAGAAUCCACAAGACGCGAACAGUGAGUGUAGUAAAGUCAAGGAAGACGAGCAAAAGAAGGAACAUGAAAAGAGAAACUGCCAAGAGCGCCUCGACUAUCGACAGGUAGGGAAGUUACCAGGAUAAGAGAACUGAGCAAGAGCACCGUGCUCAACAAGGAUUGAAUGCAACAUCUUGGAGAUUUAUUCUCCACCAGAGUCAUCACGGAAUACAAGAAUAGGCGUAGGGAACUUGUUGUGUGCCAUGGCGUCAAAACGCUUACACAUAUAAGACCUCACUACGAAAGGAAAUAAAGUAUAUCCAGGUGUGUUGAGAGAAGUCAUCUAUAAAUAUAGUACUAGCGAUGACCUCCUUUCGAGGCGAAAGGAGGUGGGCCCCAGACAUCAGAGUGAACAAGGUUGAAAGGGUUGUUGAGACACUGUCUCGCUAUGAGCAUAAGGUAAGUAUAGCUGUUUACCAAGCCGACAACCCAGACAGUUUAGAGACAUCAUCCGAGACUGAUCCAAGAAGACCAUGUCAAACUAAGGAUGCGAGAUGAGAGCCACACAAGUGACCCCAGGCGACGAUGGCACUUCUAAGCAUAACUGGUAGACAAGGUAACAGAGGUGGAGAGACUAGCGACUGUAGCAGCAGAGUCACUUGAUCCAGCAUCCUACGUGCCUGUGCGCUCUCCGUUACCCGCCGAUCCGGCUUGGUGUGCUUCUCCUGUUUGUGGGUUGUGUGCCACGCACUUGAUUAAGCACCCCACGUUCUCCUACAGUGCGCCCUUGACCCUGGCUUUAGGUAGCGCCGUGUCCUCGGCUUGCCGUGCAUAAUCCAGGUAUGCGCCAACUGUCCGAGCUCCUGCUCACCAUUGGUGUUGCUCGAGCGUGGGUUCUGGUGUCGCCCAUAAAGGGAACACGGGAUGUGGGAUUGAGACAGUUCACAUAGCAACCCACAACAAGGCAAAGGAUGCCCAUCCAACUGGCAGGGAGCGGAGGUGGACCCAAAAAGGUGGAUGUUGACUCCAAGGAGUCUCAACAGGACGCUUGUCAGUAAGAGGAGCAAGAAGAUCCUGGAUAUACUUCUCUUAGCAAAUAAAGAAGCCAUCAAAGGUAGACUCAGGGAAGUAGCGAUGAGGACCAAGGUCAGACAUAAGAAACUCACUGUGACGAGCCUUCACAAAGGCAAUGUACUUAAGAGUCGUGUAGGAUCAUGAGCACCCGUUGAAAAACGAGCCUUAUUAACCACAGAGACAACGCUCAAACCAGUCAUGAGGGGUUUGCUAAAGAGCAUAUAGAUAAUGCCGAAGGCGACAAACCAUGCCGGCUGGAAAAGAAUACCCAAGUGGUGGCUACAUGUAGGAUUGUUGACAUCAAGCUGAGAGAGAGAGAGAGAGAGAGAGAGAGAGAGAGAGAGAGAGAGAGAGAGAGAGAGAGAGAGAGAGAGAGAGAGAGAGAGAGAGAGAGAGAGAGAGAGAGAGNNNNNNNNNNNNNNNNNNNNNNNNNNNNNNNNNNNNNNNNNNNNNNNNNNNNNNNNNNNNNNNNNNNNNNNNNNNNNNNNNNNNNNNNNNNNNNNNNNNNGAGAGAGAGAGAGAUAGAUAGAUAGAUAGAGAGCCUAUGUUGGCAAACAGAAGCACAUCGAAAAGUGUGCCAAAAGUGGUCAUCUGGGCCAUACAGGAGCAAAUGUCUCAUCCUAGUCAUGACUAUAUGUUCUCACCAGUAGACGAGCUUUGUAAAGCUCUAGAGAAACAUCAUAGUCUCACCCUUGUGGGCCUAGUUACAAGUAAUGAGACGAGCAAGAGGAGGAAGGGAAAUGAGAUUCCACUAGCCGACGAGGUGAAGAGCAUUUGAUGCCAUCACAUGCUGCCAUUGUGGAUGAAAAAAAUGUCAUGAUAAGAAGUCUUCUUGUGAAGAGCACCGCAAUAACUAACCAUAGCAGUCAAUAGGCAGAAGCGGACGAGCUCGAAAGCCAUAAGUAGGCUGAUCUGGAGCUAUGUGUUGCCAACAGAAGAAGACAUAGUAGUUGAGGGAGAUGACUCAUUAUAAGAAUCCACAACACGCGAACAAUGAGUGUAGUAAAGUCAAGGAAGAUGAGCAAAAGAAGGAACAUGCAAGACAAACUGCCAAGAGUGCCUCGACUAUCGACUGGCAGGGAAGUUACAUUGACAGUAAAAACAUGAACAUGAGAAUCUAGAUGUGGAAUACCCAAGUGGUGGCUGCACGUAAAACCCCUGACAAAAUUCACCAUUAAAAAGUCUUUCUUAACAUCAAGCCGAGACGGAGUGACGAAUAAAGGCCGCAACAAGAUGUGUGUGAACAAUUGUCGUAUGGCCCGCAUGAGCUGAAACUCUCAUCGUAAUUAGGACCAUGAUUCUACUGAAAGCCACGAGCCACAAGACGAGCUUUGUAAUGUUCAAGAGAACCAUCAGAGCGAGUCUUAACCUUGUAGACGCACCAAGUAAUGGGACGAACACGAGGAGGAAGGGACACAAUAUCCUCUACCAUGGCAAGGCGCCAUUUGGUAUGAAUAACAUCAAGAUAAGAAGUCUGCUCAAGAAAGUGGCGCCAACGUUUCAUAGCCUAAGGCGGUCCACAUGCAAAAGUGGAAGAGGUCGCAAGCCAUAAGAAGGCCGAGACGGAGAAGAUGGCACAUCAGUAGAUGCAUCCACAACACACGAACGACGUGUAUAAAAGUGAGGCAAAUGUGGAAGAAUACGAGCAAUAAUCCCCGAGAUAAGCUCAGGUUAUGGAGACAAGGAAGUCACCGGUGAUGAAGGUUUAGAAUCCCGUGAUAAGCGAAGUGAGGAAAUCAUAGGAGAUGAUGGUGCUGAAUCUGUAAUAAUUGGAGAAGCAGGAGCAGUACGAGGAAUGGAAUAGGGCUCAACGAUAGUGAUAAGAAUGUCGGGAAAAGUGAGGUAACACAUCCUCCACUAAAAAGGUCGGGGAUGAUGGUCACACGUAGCAGGGACGAGACUCACUAAAAGUCAUACCGUGAGAAAUAGUCACCCGAUGACCAACCUGAUCCCAACAACAAUAUCUCUUAUGCUCAUUGUUGUAUCCUAUGAACACUCAACAUACUAAGUAGUAAGUUUGGUACAUUGACGAGAGGCAGUAAGGGCACAUCAAACACAACCAAACAAUUGAAGCGCUGAAUAAUCUGGAAACGAUCAAAUAGACUCUCGAAAGGAGAUGACCAUGGUGGAAGUGGAGACGCAUUCAACCCAAAAGUGUGGCGUAAGAGAGGCAGUGACCAUCCAAAAGUGUGGCGGAAGAGAGAGCAGUGACGCUGAACCUAUGAGCCGUCUCAAUAGUUGACGAUGCUUGCCCUCAGCCAUGCCAUUUUUGAGCAUGAGCACCACGAUAAGAGAACUGAGCAAGAGCACCCUGCUCAACAAGGAUUGAGCGCACCAUCUUGGAGAUUUAGUCUCCGCCGAGUCAUCACAGAAUACAAGAAUAGGCGUAGAGAGAUACUAUGUUAGCAAACAGAAGCCACAUCGAAAAGUGUGCCAAAAGUGGUCAUCUGGGCCAUACAGGAGCAAAUGUCUCAUCGUAGUCAUGACUAUAUGUUCUCACCACUAGAUGAGCUUUGUAAAGCUCUAGAGAAACAUCAUAGCCUCACCCUUUGAUGUCAUCACAUGCUGCCAUUAUGGAUGAAAAAACGUCAUGAUAAGAAGUCGUCUUGCGAAGAGCACCACAAUAACUAACCAUAGCAGGCGAGCUCGAAAGCCAUAAGUAGGCUGAUCUGGAGCUAUGUGUUGCCAACAGAAGAAUACAUAGUAAUCGAGGGAGUUGACUCAUUAGAAGAAUCCACAACACGCGAACAGUGAGUGUAGUAAAGUCAAGGAAGACGAGCAAAAGAAGGAACAUGAAAAGAGAAACUGCCAAGAGCGCCUCGACUAUCGACAG